CGGGGAGUGGCGCAGCCUGGUAGCGCAUCUGGUUUGGGACCAGAGGGUCGCAGGUUCAAAUCCUGUCUCCCCGACCA
rnacentral:tRNA from 2 species